UGAAGGGAAAAAGUACUUUCUUGAACACAAGGCACAAUUUCAUUUCAAAGAUCCGUUUCCAUUACAAAUUCAUCAAAGGUUCAUUAGAAAAAAGUCCAAAACAAAUUUUACAAAAUUACAUCAUUUAACCUAGAGUUGACUUUUGGUUAACUAUUGACUUUUUGGUCAAGCAGUUGACCAAAGUCAAACUACCUAAUCCUAAAUCGUAUUCUACUUUUUCUUCAUCCUCAAGACAUUUGACUUUGUGCCUCCAAGGUCUUCUUCAUAUGCCAUGACUUUGAUCCAUAUAUUCAUUCUUUGACAUAUAUUCAUUCCAUGCCAACUUUGAUCAAUAGCAUGCUAAGCCCAAUUCCUUCCUAUCAAGAUCACACCAACCAUGCAAAACCAAAUUUCAACAUGUAAUACAAUACACAAACAAACCUAUUCAUACACAUCCAACAUCAUGCAUACCAUUCAAACAUAAACCAAUUGGGUUGCAUACAUUCAAACCAACCUAACUAACAUUCUUUGACAUAAUUGGUUGUAAAUGAUUCUAACACAAACAACAAUAACAAUUCAAGUAAUCACACUAACAUACCAACAUUUUCUUCUAAACUAAGUCACUAGCCUAUAACUUCCAAUCACUAAUAACUCACAUCCUAACUAUUUACUAGCAUCCCUAAAUAUCUAACAAUACCAAGGCAUUAAUUCAGUCCAAUUAAGUCAUGACAUAUUGCCAAUCCAACCAACCAAUUAACAUAGCAAUCAAACACCAUUAACCCCAAUUUAGACUAGUAUGACAAUCUUACAUAUGAGUUUACACAUUCAAUAAAAAAUCAGUCGAUGACAAUUCAACCAAUGCAAACCUUCAUGGAAAUUCCUACUAACGUCUAACAACCCCUUACAGUUCAGAUUAAUUUCAAUCCAAAAAAUACCUUAACUCAAUCAACAUAAUUAGUUUUCCUAACUAUCAUUAACAGGCGAUCGACAUCGAUUGAUACUUCCAAAGCUAUAACUAACUUAACAAUUCCUUAACACAUCAUUAACCAUUCAUCAUAACUCCACUAACUGACAAUUCAAUAACCAAUUAACCAACUUUCAUAUAGCCUACUAAAUCAAGGAAAUCUCUUACCAAACAAAUUGAUUCAACUAAUUCAAGCUUAACUAACUUUUUAACUAAUGCUAUAACAAUCCUAGCCUAAUUCAUUAUAACAUCAGUGGAAACAAAUUCCUAACAAAACUAACAGCUACGUUAUCACUAACCAACCAACUACUUUUCAUAACAUUCCUAACCACCACUAAUUUCCUAAUUGAUUUUUGAAUUCACUAAUAGCAAUUAACUACUAACUACCAUUUAAACUUCUAAAAGUUCAUUAACCUCACAACUAACCUUCCAAUUCCAAAAAUCCAACUAAUUUUCAGGAUUCAAACUAACUAACUCAUUAUAACAUCUUUAAAAACUAACUACAAAAAUUGCUAACACGAAUUAACAGAAUUAGAAACUUCUAACCAACUUACUCAUGAGUUGCAGUUUUGAAUUGUUACUUGAAUAUCUCUGGUUUUCUAUCUUUUUCAGCUUCAUCUUCUUCAAUUCUAACAAACUCCGGGGCCAAUAUCUUCCUUGUAGGUAAGCUCCUACUCCAUUCCUCUUUUAUUCACUAUGGAAUAGUUACCACAAUGUAGCUUCCAAUGACGGGAAUCAAAGCCCCAAGGUGGCGUGGAUUGAUUCCCCUCCGUCACCAUUUAAUUUUCACUUUUAGGACAUAGAGUUCUUAUUUAUUUUGGUUCGGUUUGGGAAUUACAUUGAUAAUCAUAAGGAAUUGAGGAUAUAAUAGGAAAGAGGAGAGUGAAGGGGUCAUAUGGUGUUGGUUUUAUGGUGAACUAAGUUGCUCUGCUGCCUCCAGCAUGGCAGAGCAAUUUCCGCGCAAAGGGAGGUUCAAGAAGGAGAGAGAGAGAGAUCCAGGAUGUGUAAAAGUGGAAAUGAGGGUGAUCUGAC
rnacentral:lncRNA from 1 species